AUGAAUGCCUUUGUAGCACUUGUCAAGUCCAGAACAGAUGCACCAGCAAUGACUAUUCCAUCGAUGUUCCAUUACCUGCCUGUCAGUCCUUCGCUGGUCCCUUUACUUGAGCCUGUUAGGUCUGGCAUCAAAGAGAAGGUUCUCGUCGAGGAUAUAGUUCCAUGUGAGUCUCACACUCCACAGAAGAUAUUUUGCAAGCCUUGCGAGGUUGCGCAGCUCAAACCAGCACUUUGGGAUAUCCUUGUCAAGGCGAGAGAAUCUGGAGUGGACCUUAAGAACCUGUCAACCCAUGGAACCUACAUUCUGAGUUCCCAUUUUGACAAGAGUGCAUACAAUAGUGUUCUUGCAUUUCUCGAUGUCAAAAGUGUGAGCCAUGAAUGGUAUGCAAAAUGCAUCGAGGGGUCUAACCUUGUCAGCAAUGUAGAUGAACAGCUUCAUUUUGAACUUCUAUCUUUUGUCGCAGACAGUUGGCAAAACUUUUCCAGUACAAAGAUGAUGCAAAUUCCUCUGCUAAAGUAUGUUGACAGGAACAAAAAUGUCUCUGUCUGGAGCAUAUCCAGAGCUAGUCAGCGGAGUGAUAGACUGUGUAUUGCAUCUGAUGGGAAGUGGAUGUCAUGGCUUAUCAGCUGGAACCAGGAGUUUCCAUCUUCUAACCGCCUUUUUGUGUCUCCCCGUACACAAACAGCUCUGCAAGGUUUCGCGCAGAAGGAAAAAGUGACAUAG
rnacentral:rRNA from 1 species